rnacentral:rRNA from 1 species
UACAGAGGGUGCGAACGUUGUUCGGAUUUACUGGGCGUAAAGCGCGUGUAGGCGGUCUCGCAAGUCGGAUGUGAAAGCCCAGGGCUCAACCCUGGAAGUGCACUCGAUACUGCGAGGCUAGAGUCCCGGAGAGGAUGGUGGAACUCUCGGUGUAGAGGUGAAAUUCGUAGAUAUCGAGAAGAACACCGGUGGCGAAGGCGGCCAUCUGGACGGUGACUGACGCUGAGACGCGAAAGCGUGGGGAGCAAACAGG